CAGACGAUACUUGCGAGGGAGACACAAGACUUUUGCAUUAUGGUUUCUCUACUUUGCUCUCCCGCGGCUGGGUCUUCGAAGAUCUGAGUUUGGAAGAAGUGAGGCAAGGGGAAGUCUGCUGGUUGAGGGCAUGUGAAUUAUCCAUAUGACAUGUAUACCGCAUGGACUACCCACCCCAUUAGUCACUUACUAGUCACCUCAGUUAUUGGAUUAACAGAGGAGUGUGACAUUGUAAAAGUUAUAUAGCCUGACUAGGACGUGGACUGACAUCCCAACACUUUUCAUCAUUUGCUGAUCCUCUGCAUUUUCCUCACCGCUCUCAAACUCUACAGCCACAUCUUGACCCUGGUGAGAGCUGCAACUUCUUCCUACUCUCUCUUCUCUGGAGGCUGUCAGCUCCACCCCAGAAGAAGCCUACCUAAAUUCCUGAUCUGAUCACCAUCGUCUAAGUGAGUGUGUGUCUUCUGGGCUUAAAGCCUAAGGCUUAAGACUUUUGAUCUGACACUUGAACUUAGCAUGCAGAGGGAAAGUCUGUCAUUAGCCUGUCAUGAUUGUGUUUGCAGUGCUUAAAAUUAAUUAAUCUAGAAUUGUUUGCUGUGAAUUAAUUAAUCUAGAAUUGUUUGUUAUGAAUUGAUUAUGUCUGUUGCAGUGCCUAGCAUUAAGGAUUGUCGUUUUCUUGAUUAAGAACCUAUAGAGUGAAAUUGUAUUGAGUGAUUUUGAGUGAAGAAAGCAUUGAAAAGGGCAGAAGCGCAGGAACAUUCUGUAUUUUCCCCCCUGGACUGCAUAAGUUGCACCUUUUGCCCAUUGAGACAGCCACUGAGCCAGAACCCCAGCCCCUUUUUAGUAAUUUUUGAUUUUGUCACUUACACUUGUUUUUCUCUGCAUUUCCAGUUUUGUCCUUUCUUGGAGGAGAGUUGGUUUGGGUUGUUGUUUUUCUUAUCACUUCUACAUACAUGUGUGUCCCCAUUAAGAAAUGUAUUUCUUGGGGCUGGGGUUGUGGCUCAGUGGUAGAGCACUUGCCUAGCAUACAUGAUGCACUUGGUUCAAUCCUUGGCACCACAUUAAAAAAAAAAACAAAACAAAAAAACUAAAUAAACAAAAUAAAGAUAUUGUGUCCAUCGAGAACUAAAAAAAAUUUUUUUUAAAAAAGAAAUCUAUUUUUAAGAGUUUUUUAAAUUAUAUUUUUUAUUUUUUAUAUUUUGCCUUCAUUUAAAAAAAUAUGAUGUAAAGAGCAGUGCUAUCAAAUUCUCCAGAGAAAAUUUGUCUUGAGUUCCAAGUCUUUAUUGUAAGUGUCUUCUAUGGUAUACAAAGGAAAAUAAAAGUGAAAUAUAAUUACAAAGUAAAAAGACAGGUGAAAUAUAAUAUGGCUGUUCUCUUUCAGUCAGUUUUGUGACUGUUACUUCUUAAUCUAUGAAUUUGGACUGUGGUAGCUCAUGUUUUGCUUUGUGAACAUGUAUUAUGAUUUCUGCACUUUCCUACAUGUACUUAAAUAUACAGGUUUCUGAAAAAUUCCUUGGAAGAUUUUAAAAAAACACCUCCUCUUAGCACAAAACUACUGUAAUAAACAGCUGAUUGCCUCAGAAGCCAUUACAAGUUUUACUGUUUACAACCUGUCCUUUAGUGUAGACAUCAAGUAAACUCAGUGCUGUUUAGUAGUAUUAAAGAAAAUAUUGAAUGCUCUCCUCAUAAUAACACUGGAGAUUUUUCAAAGUGAGUUGGUAUUAGGGAGCUUUUGGUGAUCUUGACUGGGAGUGAGAUGAUGAAAAUGGGUGUUUUCUAAAUUUCUUAGAAAUGGCUAGCCAAAUGGUUAGUAGAAAGAAGAGACCAGAGGCAGAGAUACACAAUGUGAAAUGAUGGAAUGCCUGAAUUAGACUCAAAGUCAAAAUUACUACCAGAGAAGCCAGGCCUAUGUGUGGGGGAGCAGUCGCAGAAGAUUGGUGUGGCUCUGCAGAGGAAUGUUGGAAGGUGGUAGUCCAGGAGGCCCUCUCUGCUUUGCUUGCCUUUUUUUCCUUCUGUGAGAUUUUAUGUGCAUAGGAUUGGUAUUUGGCAGAGAGAGAGAGAGAAGUAGGAGAGAAGCAGUGUAAGUGGAAAGGUAAAACUGGAACAGGAGGAGAAAAUAAGAGAGACAAAAACCUACCAAGUAAUAACAGCUAUAUAAUAUAUAUGAUGCUUUAUGGUGUAAUGAAAGAUAUAAAACUUGAAGUCUGACCACCAGUAGUUCAAAUCUAGAAAGUCUAUUUCCUAAUUUUCUGACUUUAAACAAAUUACUUAAUUUUUCCAAACUUCACUUUUUUUUUUCUAAAUCUGUGAACAUAGAUGUGAUUUUCUAUAAAUAAAUGGUUCAAUUAAUACCAGAUUUAUUGUGUGGAACUUGAAUUACUUAUAGUUUGCUAUCACAUUCUAAGGUAACCUAUCAUUUCAUAAGUUUCUGUAAAUUUUAUUUCGUGUAGGCUAGCUGCACCCAAGAUGCAUGAUGAUGAAAUUAUAAUUGAAUUUCUUCUGGAAAACAAUGCUUGCAUGCAGAAUCAGUAUCAAAGAAAUCUGCAAUGAAAAAUCCAGAAAAAGUUGUUUAAUUUUAUUAAAAUGCUUUCAGGUCCAGGGUUUGGGGGAAUUUAGAGGAAGACUCCUUCCUUUGAAGUUUUUCUAUCUUGGGGCUGGAGAUGUGACUCAGUGCUUUCCAAGCAAGUAUAAGGAGUUGACACAACAAACAAACAAACAAAACAAACCCUGCAAACUUUCUGAAGUUUUUCUAUAUUUGUGAAUGUUUCAUGUAGUUAGUCAAACUGAAACUUGAACAUGGAAUUUUGAUAGUCUUGCCUGCCUUUGUCCAACUUAUUCCUACCAACACCAUCUUCAGGUGAAAAUUCAUGUAAUUGCAGGGGUGGAUAUUCUGACACAUGUUGUCAAGCUUGGCUCUUCCUCUGUCUGGUGAUUUGUACAAUCUUUGAUUUCAUCUUCAUAUGGAUAAGAUAUCUGGCAAAAUCAGAAAAGCCUGUCGAUGAGUUUUGUCUCCAAAUCCAAGCAUUAGUACUUUUGCCAAGAGUGAUUGCUUCUGUUUGAAAAAGAAAAGGGUGGUGGUAGGAAAGAUUGCUGGUUAUCUCUCAAUACCUUUCUUCCUCUUCUUCCCUAAUAAAAUAAUUUUUAACUGGAUGUAUGGCUGACUGAAAUGAAAUUUACUAUUUUCUGUAUCUCAUGCAACCAAGAGUGGCCCUGUGAUUGGCUAGUGAGUGAACAGAAUCAAGUAUUUAGAUUCAGGUGAUGCUUCCUUCCUCUUCCCACUGUUUGGGAUGCAGGUGUGGUAGGCCAUUUUGGACCAAAUAGAUGUGAGCAAUCCUGAAGGCAGCAAUUCCCAAACUUUGCUGCCCAUUAAAAUUACCUAUGGGGUUUUAAAAAAUCCUUUGCUGGAUGUGGUGGCAGGAGGCUUGAGGCAGGAGGAUCGCUUGAGUCCAGAUUUUGAGACCAUCUUGGGAAACAUAGUGAGACCCUGUCCAAAAAUAAAUAGCCAACCAAUCAAUAACUUAACCAAUGUUGUCAGGUGCGGUGGCUUAUGCCUGUAAUCCCAGUGGCUGGAGAGGCGGAGGCAGGAUUUCGAGUUUGAAGCCGUUCUCAGCAAUUUAGGGAGGUGCUAAGCAACUCAGUGAGACCUUGUCUCUAAUAAAAUAUAAAAUAGGGCUAGGGAUGUGGCUCAGUGGUUGAGUGCCCCUGAAUUCAAUCCCUGGUACCCCCAAACAAAAAAUACAAAAAUAACUUACCCGAUGUUGAGGUCACACCUUCUAUCAAUCAAACGAGAAGGAUUGGACCAGACAUUCUCACUUUAAAAAAUCUCCAUGUGAUUCCUAGGUGCAGCAAAAUUGAAAACAGCUGCCUUUGGAGUUCUAGAGCAAGAACAUUAAAGUCAAUAUUGCUGACAGCAUACCAGCCCAGACCUUCCUAUUAUAAAACCAUCACAGGUCAGAGAGUAGCCUGUUGUUUGGAAUUAAGUUAUAACAACUGAACCUAUGUAGCAGCUAAUAAACAUGGGUCAGAAUAAUCUUGUUGCCAUGUUUUGCUUAUUUUCCACAUAUUCACAAGUGGGAUUUUUUUGGAGAUACCUUGGUCAUACUUCCUUAGUAUAAUACAUUUUAGGUUAAUCCAUAUUGUGGCAUGCAUCAUUAGUUCAUUCCUUCUUUUUGCUAGUAUAGUGUUUAUCCAUUUACCAGUUGAAGGGCAUUUGAGUGGCUUCCAGUUUGGGACUUGCUUUGGUUUGGGUAUGGUAUGAGUGUCCUUCAGGGUAUAUUGUGAUUGAAACCUUGGUCCCUGGGGUGGUGUUUUUGGGAAGUGAAACAACCUUUGGGAGGUAGAGCCUAGUGGGCAGGCCUUAAGUUAUAGCCAGGAGGUGGCUGGAUAGGUAGUUCUUGUGGGACUUUGAGAGGGUUGGAAAAGCCUGAAUUUGGCUCUCCCACCUUUUGCUUUCUGGCUCAAGAUAUAACCUUGCUCCUGCUGGUGCUUCUGUUGUUGCUCUUUGCCACAAUGUGGCACAGCCAAGGGGUGGCCUUUGCCACAGAGCCUGUGCUGUUUUUUUUUUUUUAUUUGGACAUUAAACCUCUGUAAUUGUGAACUAAAUAAACCUUUCUUCACAAGUAGCUUGUAUUAGGUAUUUCAGUAUAGUGUUGAAAGGCUGACUAAUACAGGGCUGUUUUGAAUAAAGCCAUUAUUAAUACUGACUUAGGUUUUUUGGUGAAUGUUAAUGUUUAAAAAGUUAUCUUAGAUGCCUAGGUGUGGGAUUACUGAGUUUGAUAAGCUUCAUAAGAAAUUGCUAAACUGUCACUGUGCCUGUAAUGUUUUGCAUUCCUGCCAGCAACAUAUAACAGUAUAUCUGUGCCAUAGUUGGGAUAGUCAUUUUCUCGCCUUUUUUUCUGCUUUAAUAUGUGAUUAUUUACCAUUCAUAUAUCUUUUUUGAUGAAUGCUGAGGUAUUUUGUCUUUAAAAUUUUUUUGCUUUUGUUUUUGAGUUUUGAGAGUGCUUUAUACAGUCUAGGUAUGAGUCCUUUAUUGGAUAGAUGUUUUGAGAUACUUUGUCCAAGGUGUAGUAUGCUUUUUUAUUUUAUUUUUUUUGGUACCAGGGAUUGAACCCAAGGGCACUCUGCCACUGAGCCCCAUCUGCAGCUCUGUUUUGUAUUUAUUUAGAGACACAGUCUCACUAAGUUGCUUAGUGCCUCGCCAUUGCUGAAACUGGCUUUGAACUUGUGAUCUCUUGUGAUCGUCUGUCUCAGCCUACAGGGCUGCUGGGAUUAUAGUUGUGUGCCCAGCUUUAUUCUUUUUAUAGUAUCUUUUGAAGAGGCAGACAUUUUUAAUUGUGAUGAACUACAGCUUAUU